ACUGCUCAGUAACACGUGGACAACCUACCCUUAGGACGGGUAUAAACCCGGGAAACUGGGUAUAAUCCCCGAUAGUCCUCGACUGCUGGAAUGCAUCGAGGACGAAAGCUCCGGCGCCUAUGGAUGGGUCUGCGGCCUAUCAGGUAGUAGUGGGUCUAAUGUACCUACUAGCCUACGACGGGUACGGGUUGUGAGAGCAAGAGCCCGGAGAUGGAUUCUGAGACACGAAUCCAGGCCCUACGGGGUGCAGCAGGCGCGAAAACUUUACAAUGCUGGAAACAGCGAUAAGGGGACCUCGAGUGCCAGGUUACAAAUCUGGCUGUCGUGAUGCCUAAAAAGCAUUGCAUAGCAAGGGCCGGGCAAGACCGGUGCCAGCCGCCGCGGUAACACCGGCGGCUCGAGUGGUAACCGUUAUUAUUGGGUCUAAAGGGUCUGUAGCCGGCCGGAUAAGUCUCUUGGGAAAUCCAGCAGCUCAACUGUUGGGCUUUCAGGAGAUACUGUCUGGCUCGAGGCCGGGAGAGGUGAGAGGUACUUCAGGGGUAGGGGUGAAAUCUUGUAAUCCUUGAAGGACCACCAGUGGCGAAGGCGUCUCACCAGAACGGACCUGACGGCAAGGGACGAAAGCUAGGGGCACGAACCGGAUUAGAUACCCGGGUAGUCCUAGCCGUAAACGAUACUCGCUAGGUGUCGGCCACGGUGCGACCGUUGUCGGUGCCGUAGGGAAGCCGUGAAGCGAGCCACCUGGGAAGUACGGCCGCAAGGCUGAAACUUAAAGGAAUUGGCGGGGGAGCA
rnacentral:rRNA from 1 species